GGAAGGAUGAAUGAAUGUUAUGAAUGAGUGUUGCUUCCAGGACGACAUGAAGUUUGAAAAGAAUAAAUAGCCAACGAGAGGCACCUGCCCCAAUGCUGGUUAAUUGCAAUUUUUAAGCCACAUUUCUUUGUCUCUAGUGUACGGGGAUGACAUGAGUACAAGGAGAGCAGAUCAAUGAUGGUGUCAGAUUUUCUUACUUUCCACGUUGCGUUUGACCUGGAUGGCACGAACGGUAGUCACAACUAACGGGGAAAAUGAAACCGCCUGUCCUGCUUUUAUCACCCUAAUGAGCACAAACAAAAAUAUGUAGAGAAACGCUUUCCCCAAAGUUCUCGAGGUUACUGCUCCAAUCCUUCAGCUGUCCCUGAGCGAGCAGGGACAAAUGUCAAUUGGUACACCACGCAAAGGAUUUGUGGGACAAUUCAAUCUUUACCCUAAAAAAGAAAGAAAGAAAAGAAAUUGUGUGCAAUAACAACAGCUGCAACUAUAAUAGCCUUAGUGACAAUCAUUGGAAAUUAAAGAGAGAAUAGGAACAUAAUACAUAAAACUACAGCAUCUUAAACACUUAACCAUUAAUGAACUCUGUUUUGUGGCUUUUGUAGGCUGGAGUCCACAUCAUUGGAUGGAAGUCUGCAAAAGCUUCUGCAAACAUGGAAUGUUGUCAGUCUUUAAGGCGACCCAAGACCAUUUUGCAUUGGAUAGGGAUGGAGGAGAAUUUCAAUUCACAUCGCAUUUAAAGGUGGGUCUAACUUAUUCACACUUUUGGAAACAAUAUAAGACGAUAUAAGAAACAUAGCAGGGCUUCAAAAUUUGCACAGCUCUGGAUUUUGCAACGCAGUUCUCUGAUCAAGCAAUGUUCUAAGAAAUGUGUAUAGGUGGAAACAACAUACAGGAAAAAUUAGAGGUAAUUGCUUUGCAAAAAUGUGCAUAUUAGGCAAAAAUGCACAAGGACACACUAGUGAAUCUUCGUGAGCAAAAACAAACAAACUUCAAAUGGAUGUAGAAGUGUGGAUAAUUGAAUUUAAGACUGGAAAAAUGACAAAGAGGGAGAAACAGAAAUUGACAGAUUUGCCCAUCCCUGGUGCCUGAUGGAACAAAAACAGCUGCCCCUCUGGAAUAAGGACAUAAUCCCAGUCUGACAAAAGGUCCAUUUUGUCCAGUAUCCUAUUUUAACAAGUGGGCUCCAGACACUUCUGGAAGCCCAUGAUCAAGGAGCUUGAGUUUAGUGUUCUUGCAAACUAUUCCAUCUAAACAUGAUCAGCUUCCUUCUAAACCUACUAUGAACAGUCAUUGCCCUCAACCAGAGCCAAUGUGGUAUUGUACAGAAGAUGCUAAACCAGGAGGACCUGGUUCAAAUGUCCCAUCCUACAGCUCCAUAAGUGACCAUAGGCAAAGCAGUAUUUCUCAGCUAACAAUUCUACCAUCUCAUUCUGUGGCACAUGUAGACGGGGCAUUGGUGUUCUUCAAAAUGUGUCAUCGUCCCGUCCCCCCCAUGUAUGGUCAGGGCAGGUCCAAUACAUUUUGCUGCCUGAGGAAGAAUGCUAACACCUCUCCCUCCUCCAAUUCAAGGUGCGUAGUACUUGAGGAGGGCCAAGUUAAAAUCCCACAAUCACCUCUUAUUGUUGUAUUGUCACUUACGCUAACAAAGAUACCUUUGCUGUCCCUUCUUGACAUCCAAAACAAGCCGUCUGAGGCACUCACUACACUCUGCCUAAUGGUAGGGGCAGCUGUGUCUAGGAUGUCACUCUGCCUUGGUGCAGCCUCCUCCCUGUUCCAGAGUGGGGCAGGCCUGUAUGGAUUAAAAUUGAAUACUGGACGCACAUGCCCAAUUCCAUGUGCCACCUUCAAAACGCUUACCUAAAAUUACAGUUGAAUUGGAUUAAUAAAUGAAUGCAAGAUACUAGAGCUUAAACGGGGCUCUGGAGAUGGUGCAAUCAAACUUCUCGAGAUGUCAGCACAGCACUUAGCAGUAUUUAACAGUUGCAUAAUAUAUGGAAAUUCACUUUUGUGUUCCCAUGCUGGGAGAUAUUUCAUCUGCUGACAUUCUGAUGGCGUCAUGCAGCAAUACAAAGCAGAAGAGCCCUGCCAGGGGGGGAAAGUUGGCAACCUUAGUUUCAGCUUUUCCAAGGCUUGACCCCUACACUUGAAACUGUAGCUUUGCUAAAGGGUCAGAAAAGUCCUUGUCAUCCCCCUUCAUUGCACUGCAACGGCAGCUAUUUAACCAGCUUACACACACCCUAAACUGUGUUAAAUCCAGAUACUUAGAAAAUCCUGGGAAGCGAAUCAUUUCUGUUUCUCUUCCCUAAAAUCCUGUUUGCUAAAACCCAUUUAGUAGAUGAGAGAAUAUUCUUUUCGUUGUGAAUAAGUGCUCAGGUUCAUUCAGUCAUUCCUGUUAACUGCCAAACGCGCCCCCUUUCUCCAGCAUAUAGGAUUUCUAUGAAAGCAUGAUUUAAUUUGCAGUUAAUUAACUCAUCAAAUCAUCAUUCUGAUUAAUCAAUUAAUGCUUUCAGACCCAACCGAGACAUUUGUAAUUUCUUACGAAUAAAGUGGGCCCUUUUUUAAAUUCAUAUGGCAUGGUGAUCAGCCGAAGUGAAUGACAGGCAGUGUAAGUGAUGCUUUGGACUAAAGUACAUGGGAUGCUCCUUCAAUUAAAGUUUGAAAGCACUAAUAGCCAUUGAUUUGAUUCAUUCAUUAACUACAGAUUAAAAUGUUGAGUUUACAAUCAGAACUCAUCCAUUGUGGGGAAAGGGUGAGCAAUACGUUUAGGCAUGAAGCAUUGGGGACAAGAGCCUUGGAAGGGUUGCCGUAAUACUGGAAUGUCUCUAAGCAUGUACAAAGUGCUUUUCCGUCAUUGGUGAGCCUGAAAAUAGGCUCUGGUUUGUUUGUUUUUCAAAAUGUUGAAGUAUUCUGCACAGUGGGGAAUCUGUGGCAAACAGACUUGGUAUUGGGGGGGGGACGUUGGGGCAGUCAUUGUGAUGCCCUCUAGAUGCUGUUGGACUACAACUCCCAUGAGCCACAGCCAGCAUGGACAAUGGUCAGGGAUGAUAGGACUUUUAGUUUAACAGCAACUGGCUGGCAACACAUUUGCUACCCCUGGCAAGGUGUCAAAAGAAAUUCAACUACACUCUUUAACCACAGACAAUUGAGAGACAAACGAAAUGGGUGUGUACAGCACAGGCAGAGAUGCCUCUAGUAUAGCUCUCUUAAUGAUGAUGUGCAUCUAGGCAGCAGCAGCAGCACCACCCCGCCCCAAAUGGUAAAAUGGUUUAGCUCCAGGCACCUCUUCAUGAUCAGAAAUAAGCAUUCCUGGGGGAAGGAACCAUAGCACACAGGGGUGGGACUGAGCGCGCUCACUUCUCCUGCAAAAGUUCCCAGGUUAAUGCUUGGGCAUCAGCAGCUGCAAAGGGGCCAAGGGAUCCCUAAUAUUUGCUGCGGCUCUUGGUCGCAGACAAGCCCCGCGCAAAAACGAGUUUGCAAAAAAGACGAGCUGGUGCCUUCGCAGCGCGCGUAAACUUGGUUGCAGGGUCGCAGGAAACCCCUCACCUUUAACAGCUGUGAAAGGCAAGAGUUUAAACGAGCGUCACUCUCCCUCACAACUCUGCAGGGCAAACUUGCUCCGGUGCCCUCCCUCUCCUUUCUUUUCAGGACGGAUAAAAGAAAGUCCUUCCACUGCGCAGCGGCGCGUUGUUGAACUACGGAACUCGCGCCCGCAGGAGGCAGCGAUGAUGGCCACCAAAUUGGAUGGCUUCAAAAGUGGAUUGGACAAAUUCGUGGAAGGGGGUAAGGCUAUCAAUGGCCGCCAGCCACUAAGGUCAUGCUCGGCUUCCACAGUUGGAGGCAGCAAUGCUCCUGAAUAUCAGUUGCUGGAAAUCACUGGGCUCUUGGGCUCGGGUCUUGCUUGCGGGUUUCCUACAGGCAUCUGGGUGGCCACUGUGAGAACAGGAUGCUGGACUAGAUGGGGCACUGGCCUGAUCCUGCAGGCUUUUUCGAUGCUCUUUUCUCCCUUGCAUCAGGUCACACACACACACACACCUCCACCUCUUCUCCUUAAAGGAUAGUUAUCAUGACAGUUAACAUCCAGGAAAGUCGUCUUAAUCCUCCCAUCAAUGAAAAGCAAAACAAGUAACCGAGCAACAAAAGAUGUUUUUAAUUGUUGACAGCCCCACUUUUUUGCUAAGGAACCCCGGGAGACCCUGCUAUGGAAGGGCAGGCGCAGUUAGGGGCGCGCCCCACCACCACCGCGUGCCAAGGGAGGGGGGUCUCCUUCGAAUCCAACGCCUGCUCUAACGGAUGUCUGUCUUGGAAUUCAGAAAUGCCUGCGCCACACACACACACACACACACACACACACUGUUUUUUGUGUCCUAGACAAAAGAGAAACCCCCUUGUUUCUCUUGCGAAACCAUCCCAGCGUCGAAGGAAAGGGAAAAGGCUCGUGGGGCCGGGGGAGGAUUUGUCUUGCUGUAAAUCACCCAUCCUUGUCUAGGACUGCUAGCGCCUCCGCCCUGCUUAAGCACAUGCGUAACUCUCACCAAAAUAAGUGAGACUUAUUCGUUUUAGUGGAUCGGUGCCAAAAAAAUUUUUUUAAUUGUUUUACACAGAGGCGUUUGAAAACAGCACAAUUUUUUUUUUAGAAAGAGUGAGUGGGUGGGUGUGUCAAAGACGUGGACAUAAAGAAAAUACGAAUUCUUAGUCUCUCUCUUUCUCAUAAACCGUUUAUGCUAUGCAAUCAAAUAACUUGUGCUUUCUUUUUUAAGCGAAUCAAGCUUUAUUGAGUAUAUAUUAUAGAUUAUUUUUUAAAAAAUAAAUAAAUAUAUGGAUGGAUCUGGAUAUCCUGAGCCAGGAUCCCAAAAACGUUGCUCGUGGUCUUUGCUGCGCUUGCCCUUCUUUUUAAAAAAGCAAGCAAAAGGGAAAAAGAAAAGAGCAAUCCCAUUUAUGCAAAGGCGUCCGCUAGCAAAAACUUCCUAAGGGUGUGUGAAAUUGACUAAUCUCUCAUGGCUUAAUAUAAAUAGCAUUUGCUGUCGCCUCUGGUGGCGUUGCAGGAUCCGUGUCUUUCCUCCUCCCUCCCGCUGCCCAGCGAGAGCGCACCGCGGCUCUGCCAGGCGUUAACUUAUUUCUUCCCAAGCGAUGGGCAAUUGUCUUCUGCAGAGAUUUUUCUUCGCUGCUUCUCUCUCCGGCGGAAGAACCAUCUGCAGCUUCCAGCUUUCUGCAAAAAAAUAAAAAAACCCCGAGCGCUCUCUCCGUUUGCGUUCAGGCUGGGAAGCGAUCAACCCAGAACAGGACGUCCCAGUUACAAAUUGAGGGAAGCGGGCGCAAACAAUAUUUUUCUUUUUAAGGAACCAAAAUUCCUGCAGCUCGGUCCAGGUUGAAUAACCUGGUCGGCUUUAGUGGAUUUAAAAGAAAAUAUAUAUACCUUCAGCUGCAGUUAAAACAAGCUAAAACAGGGUUUGCAGCAGGUGAGGUUUUGCAAACUCCCCACCUGGAAAAUCUGCACUGCCCCAACCCCCAAUGUGAUGCCCUCAGUUAGGAAAGAGUUUGGAGACGGCCUCGAAAAGUGCUGCUUAAAAGCCAUCUUUCCCCCCUUCCUUCUUCCAGAAAGGGUGUGUUUGUGUGAGCACGCGCGCAUGUGUAUGCCUAUGUACAGUAUAGUGUGUGUGUGGCCUCAGCAGGAUGAGAGCAGAAAACUUAUCCAGGGAAGCUUAUCUAUCCCCUUGGGACUCUUGGGAGGGCUGCGUGUCCGUGCGUGAUGCUCUCUAGUUGUCCCUUACGGCCGUGGCGCAAAAGGGAAUCGGGAAGGCGCAAGAGCCACUUUUCCACAACAGCCCCACGCAGAGGGAAGUCAAGGCUUGGCGUUGCCGCCGCCCUUUCCUGGGCGCAAAAGUCCAGAGACCGGCUGGGGUGUGUGGCGCGCCUGAGCGCAGUUGGCGAGGUGUCGUGGGCAACUGGCGAAUACCUGCCUUUGCUCUGCAAACCGUUUUCAUUGGCCAGCCCUUGAUCUGGGGCUCUUCUGACUUGGCCCCCAUUGCACUGAUUUACUGGGCGCUUUAGUUCAAGAAGGAGCGCCUCUGGCCAAUUGUAGCCUGUGGCCAGUUUUAGCUUCUCCUGUGUGUGGUGUUUGUGUUAAGGCGCUUGGUGUUUCAAGUACAGGCACGCACGCACCUCGCAACAGCUCCUUCCAGACAGCGACUAGGAUGACAGGGAAAAUAAUCUGAGAUGGGAUCUGAUACAAAGGAAAAAAUGAGUUUCUUUUAAGCAUCGCUUCCUUUUUUUUAAAGAAAGCGGGGAAUGGCAGUAAUCCAGAGAGGCAAGACAGUCAUUGAAUCCAAGCAACAUUCCCAAUUAAAAUAAAUAAAUAAAUGAGAUACAUAAAAUCGAACUUUUCCUCUCCUUGCAGGACUUGCUGAGCCCGUUUGCAAAACCUAAAGGAGUUAAAACAACAACAAUUAUUUUGCAAAGACCAGCAGAAGGUGGGAAAGGGGGUUGUUAAAGAAUUGCUCAGACUCUCCAGAUCAAUGGCUUGUGGGGGUCAUUUCCGACGUGGAAGUCUUUUGAGACUUGCCCCGCCCCCCUACACCUCUCCACAUGCUGAUUGCAAACGGUUUUUAAAAGUUCCAAGCUCUGGAUUUCUGGGCUGUUAAAAACUAAAACCCUAAAAACUGUCGGAGUUAUAACCACCACCGCUUUAGAGGCUCGGCAGACAAAACAUCUGGUUCGUUAGGGCAAAGUUGCUGGAAAACAGAAAAGAAAACUUUGCUGCCGUGCAAAUUCGCUUACCAAAACAAUUUACAUUCGAGAAAAGGUUCUUAGCCAAAAUGAACAAACGUAGUAUCCUUUUUCUUUUUAAUUUGUAUCCGAGGGCUCUGGGAACCCACAAGUAAUUUCCAACAGAAAAUACGUUGUUAUUGUUGCUGUUUCAUAGCACUUGGGGCAAUUUCCCCCAGAGCUCCGCCUCCCACAUUUCAGGAUUAAUGAUUACUUUUCCAACUAUUUCCCCUCCCCACCAAUAUUUCCACCACCCUUCAAAAAAAAGAAGAAAAAAAAGAACUGAAGGAUGUCAUUGGGAAGGAGUGAAGAAGGAGUUAUGGGAGGCUGUGUGUUUUUUUCCAAGCCUACAAAAACCUCAGACCCCUCAUAUUUAUGUACAUUCAUUUCUCCCUUCCUUACUGUUCGUCAAGGAAGGGAGGGGGGGAACACACCCAAUAUUUUCUUUUCCUUCCCUUGGGAGAAAUUAAAAUUAAACUUGCAAUUAAAAUCGGGGGAGGGGGUGGAACUAGUUGUUGCUUCACCUUAGAACAAAAGAAAAUGUUGGCACAGGAGGGGGGAAAUUAUUACCAAGUUACUUGUUUUAAUAGACAGGCAAGAUAUAUUUAUGCUACAAACACACACACGUCCCUGGACCUUGCCAAUUUCAUUCUGCCUUGCCUGUUUACACUUACACACACUUACACACACACACACACACACACAC
rnacentral:lncRNA from 1 species